rnacentral:rRNA from 1 species
UACAGAGGGUGCAAGCGUUAAUCGGAAUUACUGGGCGUAAAGCGUGCGUAGACGGUUAUUUAAGUCAGGUGUGAAAGCCCAGGGCUCAACCUUGGAAUUGCAUUUGAGACUGAAUAGCUAGGGUGCGGAAGAGGGAAGCGGAAUUUCCGGUGUAGCGGUGAAAUGCGUAGAUAUCGGAAGGAACACCAGUGGCGAAAGCGGCUUCCUGGUCCAGCACCGACGUUCAGGCACGAAAGCGUGGGGAG